rnacentral:lncRNA from 1 species
UCGUCCCCUCUUUUUCUGACUGAAGCUUGGCUAUUUAUAAUGCUCUUGUUGUGACCUAAUGGGCUCAGAAUGAAGCCCAAAAAUUCUGAUGUUCGCAAGCUUCGCUAGGCGAGCGUGUAGCGAAGGUUCGCUAGGCGAGCGUGUAGCGAAGGUUCGCUAGGCGAAGGAAUUGCUCGCCUAGCGAGCAGGCCAGUUUGGGCCAUUUUCUGGAUUGGGCCUGUUGUGAGCUGGGCUUUUGUUCCUUUAAGGUCAGUGUCUUG